rnacentral:snRNA from 1 species
AUACUUACCUGGCAGGGGAGACACCUUGAUCAUGAAGGAGGUUUUCCCAGGGUGAGGCUCAGCCAUUGCUCUCCGGCUGUGCUGACCCCUGCGAUUUCCCCAAAUGUGGGGACUGCGUGCGUGCUUUCC